rnacentral:lncRNA from 1 species
CUUGGACACAGUUUGGACUAUUUGCAAACUGAUGUUAGAUAUAUCCAAUAUACAUGAAAAAGUAUUCAUAGCAGAGCAGAAAUAUAUUCUAACAAAUGUGUAUUGUUUGGACAAAACACAGGAAAGUGGGAAAAAUGUAGAAUUGUGAAGACUGUAUUUUUUUCUUAUGCUUUAAAAGAACCAUAAUCAUUGAUCUUACAUUCUUUGCAAAACAAGUGAUACUCAGAAAUGGAAUGUAAAGACUUAAUUACAACCAAUUAUUUAGCUAUGUUAUAUUUUACUAUCAAGUGAUGCGUGUUGAAGCUGCACAUACUCCCUUGUAAGAUGCAGUGAUUUUUUUUCCAACUUGCUGUCUAAUAAAAUAAAUUAUAUAAGCUAUCUUCUCCAUUAAAACCAGAAGUUGAAUAGAGGAAUUUAUUUGAAGUCCUCAUCCUUCUUGACAACCCAUUCAGACAAUGCCAUAUGCACAGGUGUGUGUACAUACACACAUAUAUAAAAAUGCAUUUCUUUUUUUAAUGUGCAGUGUCAGAAAUAAAUGAGUCUGAAGUUCCUAACUAAAUAAUACCUUCUCUGAGAAGUUUAAUUCUCUGAUCUGUAUUUCUAAAAACCCAUUAGUGAAAGCCAUUGAUACAUCACAAUGUUUAUGAAGUUUGUCCAACUUACCAUCUAGGCCUUUUUUCCCCCUUCUGAAUACUUCUAUGCUGUAGUUUUUGGGUUCUAGGUUGUAACUGUAAAUAUUCUAUAGUUGCAAAUCUACAUUGGUCAGCAGACUUUGUGUGCAUUAUUUUUAAAUUUAAUGCCUUCACUAACACUACUCUUUGAUAAUGUAUUUCAGUAUUGUACAAACCACCCGUCUGGAGCUUGAUCCUACAUUGAGUCUGUUCUGUAACCCAAGGAAACUAAAAGGCUGUCUUGGAUGCCCUUGGAAAUUUCCUGAGCUUGAGAGACCUCUUCACAACACAACAGGUUUCAAGCAGCUGUAAGUGGUAACUGCAGACCUUCCUGUACACCCCUGCUGCUCUGCCACAGCUUCCAUGGCAGCAUGAUAGCUGAGGCCUGCUUUUUGUUUAACAUGUAACGUUUUGUAAAGACAGGUGGUGACUGUAUUUGGAAAGAUUUCCCAUUUUAAGCUGGGUUUGUUCUGAUACUGACCACACUGAAUUUACAUGGGCUGCAACAUGACCUUCAUAAAGGUAGCCUAAGGCUUUGUAGGUGAAGAGUCACCAGUCAGGAGAAAUAGUCCGCAAACACAGAACUUUGCAGUAGUUUAUCCUCUUUUCCUCUCUUUUAUGUGUGGUAGGAAUGACAAGGCAUGACUUGGGCAGUCUGUGAAGUUUUCCAUCUAACAUGCUGUGAAUGCACACAUGAGCGCUGAGCUGCUAGAAGU